rnacentral:rRNA from 1 species
UCGAAAGCCCGCCAAGCAAAAAGACCCGCGAACUUGUCUCUACAUACUAUUGGGAGUGAUGCGAUGGUCGCGGCCAUGUUGCCCAGGCUUUCGUUCUCUCCCUGCGAGUAGAUGUGCAAGGACCCUUCGGGUGACGUGCUCAUUUACUCGUCAAACAACGAACCCCGGCGCAAGACGCGCCAAGGAAAAUUGAACAAGAGUGCACGCCCCCAGCCCGUUUUGCGGGUGGUGUUGGCGUAUGCAAUCUUUCGUACAACUAAACGACUCUCGGCAACGGAUAUCUCGGCUCUUGCAUCGAUGAAGAACGUAGCGAAAUGCGAUACUUGGUGUGAAUUGCAGAAUCCCGUGAACCAUCGAGUCUUUGAACGCAAGUUGCGCCUGAAGCCAUUAGGCUGAAGGCACGUCUGCCUGGGCGUCACGCAUUGCGUCACCCGCUCCCCCGUGCCUAAGCGUGCAUGUCGGGGCGUGGGUGGAUAUUGGCCCCCCGUUCGCUUUUGGUGGUCGGCCGGCCUAAAAAAGAGUCCCCAACGACGGACAUCAGGACAAGUGGUGGUUGCUAAAUCGUCGCGUAGUGUUGUGGAUGCCAUUGUUUGUUGCGGGUUGGCUCAUUGACCCUGAAGGUGCUAGUACCUGCGGCACCUCG